rnacentral:sRNA from 1 species
AGCAAGGCAGCACCUUCAGUGCCAUCCAAACCUUCAGACUGCAAUUUUAUUUCAAACUUCUAUUCUCAUUCAAGACUGCAUCACAUAUCAAUGUGGAAGUGUGAAUUGACUGAGUUUGUCAAUACCCUACAGAGACAAAGUAAUGGUAUCUUUCCAGGAAGGGAAAAGUUAAAAAAAAUGAAAACAGGCAGGUCUGCACUUGUUGUAACUGACACAGGAGAUAUGUCAUUAUUGAAUUCUCCCAGACAUCAGAGCUGUAUAAUGCAUGUUGAUAUGGAUUGCUUCUUUGUAUCAGUGGGUAUACGAAAUAGACCAGAUCUCAAAGGAAAACCAGUGGCUGUUACAAGUAACAGAGGCACAGGAAGGGCACCUUUACGUCCUGGUGCUAAUCCCCAGCUGGAGUGGCAGUAUUACCAGAAUAAAAUCCUGAAAGGCAAAGCAGACUUGGGUCCUGGCCUCUGAUUUCUCCAACCGUUCCUCCACAUUCUCCAUGUGCCCGUCUAGUUUGUCAAGUUUUGAUGAGCAGUUCUCUACUUUGCCCUCCAGUGAGGACAGUGUGUCCCUGCAUUUCCCUGAAUCUCA